rnacentral:rRNA from 1 species
CCUACGGGCGGCUGCAGUGAGGAAUAUUGGUCAAUGGACGAGAGUCUGAACCAGCCAAGUAGCGUGAAGGAUGACUGCCCUAUGGGUUGUAAACUUCUUUUAUAUGGGAGUAAAAUGUUCCACGUGUGGGGUUUUGUAUGUACCAUAUGAAUAAGGAUCGGCUAACUCCGUGCCAGCAGCCGCGGGAAUACGGGGGGACAGAGCGUUAUCCGGGUUUAUUGGGUUUAAAGGGAGCGUAGGUGGAUUGUUAAGUCAGGUGUGAAAAUUUGCGGCUCAAACGUAAAAUUGCAGUUGAAACUGGCAGUCUUGAGUGCAGUAGAGGUGUGCGGAAUGCGUGGUGUAGCGGUGAAAUGCUUAGAUAUCACGAAGAACUCCGAUUGCGAAGGCAGCUCACUGGACUGCAACUGACACUGAGGCUCGAAAGUGUGGGUAUCAAACAGGAUUAGAUACCCUUGUAGUC